GACGAACGCUGGCGGCGUGCUUAACACAUGCAAGUCGAACGGAAAGGCCUUUUCGGAGGUACUCGAGUGGCGAACGGGUGCGUAACACGUGGGUGAUCUGCCCUGCACUCUGGGAUAAGCCUGGGAAACUGGGUCUAAUACCGGAUAGGACCGCACUUUAGUGUGUGUGGUGGAAAGUUUUUUCGGUGUAGGAUGAGCCCGCGGCCUAUCAGCUUGUUGGUGGGGUAAUGGCCUACCAAGGCGGCCACGGGUAGCCGGACUGAGAGGUUGGUCGGCCACAUUGGGACUGAGAUACGGCCCAGACUCCUACGGGAGGCAGCAGUGGGGAAUAUUGCACAAUGGGCGCAAGCCUGAUGCAGCGACGCCGCGUGGGGGAUGACGGCCUUCGGGUUGUAAACUCCUUUCGCCAGGGACGAAGCGUUUUGUGACGGUACCUGGAGAAGAAGCACCGGCUAACUACGUG
rnacentral:rRNA from 1 species